rnacentral:tRNA from 1 species
GGCUUGUGGUUUAGUGGUAUAAUACUCCCUUAGCAUCUCUAUCGAGAAUGACUGGGAGUGGUCCGGGGUUCGAGUAAGCUUCCCUGUACCA